AGCUUUGCGCAGUGGCAGUAUCGUAGCCAAUGAGGUUUAUCCGAGGCGCGAUUAUUGUAAUUGAAAACUUUUCCCUAGUUUGUGGCCUCAGUAAGGUUAAAUACUGAUUAGAUACACUUUGGCAAGAUGCCACUUC
ensembl:snRNA U4 U4 spliceosomal RNA